GUCUUUUUGAAUUAAAUUUAAAGUCUAACCUGCCCACUGAAAAUUUUAAAUGGCCGCAGUAUUCUAACUGUGCAAAGGUAGCAUAAUCAUUAGUCUUUUAAUUGAAGGCUGGAAUGAAUGGUUGGACGAAAUAUUAACUGUUUCAUUUAAAUUUUUUAUAAAAUUUUAUUUUUUAGUCAAAAAGCUAAAAUAAAUUUAAAAGACGAGAAGACCCUAUAAAUCUUUAUAUUUUAUUUAUUUUAAUUAUAAAGAUUAUUUUUAUUAUAAUAAAUUAAAAUAUUUUAUUGGGGUGAUAUUAAAAUUUAAAAAACUUUUAAUUUUGAAAACCAUUAAUUUAUGAAUAAUUGAUCCAUUAAUAAUGAUUAAAAAUUUAAGUUACUUUAGGGAUAACAGCGUAAUUUUUUUGGAGAGUUCAUAUCGAUAAAAAAGAUUGCGACCUCGAUGUUGGAUUAAGAUAUAAUUUUGGGUGUAGCCGUUCAAAUUUUAAGUCUGUUCGACUUUUAAAUUCUU
rnacentral:rRNA from 2 species